GGACGGUUGGCUUAGUUGGUAGAGCGCUGGGACAUAAACCGAGAGGCGCGGUUUCGAAUCCCGCAUCGGCCA